rnacentral:rRNA from 1 species
GACGAACGCUGGCGGCGUGCCUAAUACAUGCAAGUAGAACGCUGAAGGAGGAGCUUGCUUCUCUGGAUGAGUUGCGAACGGGUGAGUAACGCGUAGGUAACCUGCCUGGUAGCGGGGGAUAACUCUUGGAAACGAUAGCUAAUACCGCAUAAUAGUAGAUGUCGCAUGACAUUUGCUUAAAAGGUGCAAUUGCAUCACUACCAGAUGGACCUGCGUUGUAUUAGCUAGUUGGUGAGGUAACGGCUCACCAAGGCAACGAUACAUAGCCGACCUGAGAGGGUGAUCGGCCACACUGGGACUGAGACACGGCCCAGACUCCUACGGGAGGCAGCAGUAGGGAAUCUUCGGCAAUGGACGGAAGGCUGACCGAGCAACGCCGCGUGAGUGAAGAAGGUUUUCGGAUCGUAAAGCUCUGUUGUAAGAGAAGAACGAGUGGGAGAGUGGAAAGUUCACACUGUGACGGUAUCUAACCAGAAAGGGACGGCUAACUACGUG